rnacentral:rRNA from 1 species
AUGACGUCAACGUGCUUCAACGAUCUCCGGUGUUUAGGAGGCUUUGCAAUGGGGAAUCACCGUCGUGCAACUACACUUUCAACGUCGAGACUACAACAUGGGGUACUAUCUUGCCGAUGGUAUCUAUCCUCAGUGGGCAGCGUUUGUGUAGACCAUAUCCGAGCCACGUGCAAUAAACAGAGCCACUUUACAAUAAUACAGGAAGUGGCUAGGAAGGAUAUGGAGAGGGAAUUUGGUGUGCUUCAGACUCGUUGGGGAAUUGUGCGGAGCGCUGCAAUGACAUGGGAAUCAGAAAUUUGUGGCAGCUGA